AGUGAACGCUGGCGGUAGGCCUAACACAUGCAAGUCGAACGGCAGCACAGUAAGAGCUUGCUCUUACGGGUGGCGAGUGGCGGACGGGUGAGGAAUACAUCGGAAUCUACUUUUUCGUGGGGGAUAACGUAGGGAAACUUACGCUAAUACCGCAUACGACCUACGGGUGAAAGCAGGGGAUCUUCGGACCUUGCGCGAUUGAAUGAGCCGAUGUCGGAUUAGCUAGUUGGCGGGGUAAAGGCCCACCAAGGCGACGAUCCGUAGCUGGCCUGAGAGGAUGAUCAGCCACACUGGAACUGAGACACGGUCCAGACUCCUACGGGAGGCAGCAGUGGGGAAUAUUGGACAAUGGGCGCAAGCCUGAUCCAGCCAUACCGCGUGGGUGAAGAAGGCCUUCGGGUUGUAAAGCCCUUUUGUUGGGAAAGAAAGGCAGCAGGUUAAUACCCCGCUGUUCUGACGGUACCCAAAGAAUAAGCACCGGCUAACUUCGUG
rnacentral:rRNA from 1 species